UCUGAGGCAGAGGCAGGUGGCUUUCUGUGACUCUGAGGCCAGUUUGGUCCACAUAGUGAAUUCCAGGACAGCUAGAGCUACAUAGUGGACCCUGUCUCCAAAACCAAAUACAAACAAACAUCCAAGUAUAUAUAUCAGAUAUACUAUUUAUAAUUCUAUAUUAAUUAAUUUUAGAGUAUACAAUGAAUAAAAAUACUGAAGGAAUGGAUUCUGGUUUCUCAUUUAAGAAGGGAUUUAAGUAAUAAGUUAACACAUCUGAUUUUGUUUCUAAUGGUCUAUUUUUUUUUUCUUGGUUUUUCGAGACAGGGUUUCUCUGUGUAGCCCUGGCUGUCCUGGAACUUACUUUGUAGACCAGACUGGCCUUGAAUUCAGAAAUCUGCCUGCCUCUGCCUCCCAAGUGCUGGGAUUAAAGGCGUGCGCCACCACCACCUGGCUCUAAUGGUCUAUUUUUAUACCACAUUUUAAAUCAGUGUUUUUUAUUAAGAAAAAAAUAGUAGCUUUAAUACUAUAAAGUUUUCAUUUGAAUAUAUCAAGUUUUUCAAAAAAAUAUAUAAAUAUUUUAAGUAAAAAAAGAAAAAGUCUCUUCAGUGUGAAUUGGUCCUGAGUUUGUCAUUAUCUCGCCUCCAUUUCCUGAGUACUGGGAUUAUAGAUGUUAUGCCACCGUGCCUGGCUCAUUUAAAAACAAAACAAAAAGAAACUUUGAUUAUAGGUUUGUGCUUCUACAAAUUUGUGGUACUGUCCCAUGGUCUCCUUAUGCAUAAUCAAAUACAUACUCAUGCAUAUUCAUUCUCCCUUCCUUUCCUCUCCUUUUUUAAAGACAGAGUUCAUACUUUCAAUCUUCCUGUCACCAUCUCCCAAGUGCUGUGAGUAUAGGUGUGCAGUUCUAUGACUGUUAAUAUUUUAUUUAUAGGAAUUUUGGUUAAAAGUCUAUAUAUGCAUUCCAUUUAUGAACACGUAACAACAGAAUGUUGAUGAUAACACCAAGAAGUGGGUGAGAUACAGAAAGGGAUAGAAUCUGUCUUUUUUUUUUGUUUUGUUUUUGGAAACAGUAUUUCAUGGUGUGUACCUGUCUGGCAAGUUUCAUGCAUAUCAAACAUAGACUCCUUUUCUUCCUGGAUUCCUAGAGUAUAUUUCUAUAAAUAGAGGAGUUUUUAGUUUCAUGGUUUCUUAUAUUUUUGGUUGUGAGCUUAGCCUUUAACGGCUGAGCCAUCUCUCCAACCCAGCAAGUCAUGGUUUCUUUAAAGAAAAACAGAAACAACAACAAAAAAAAUUCAGUCUUAAAAAUAGGUCCCACAGUUACCCUCACCUUGCUUCUAUAGUUUUCUUCUCUUUUGGAUUUGACUUCCUAAAUACAAUAGGAUAACAUUUUCCCUCAGAUUUAGAGUUCUUUGACAUGGAGUCAUGUUUUUCUUUGGUCUAUCUUGCCAUAAAAAAUUCUGGCUCUUUGUGCAUGCAUCCAUGGAGGCCAGAUCCUUUAUCUCUUAUUUGCCUUAUACACUUGAGUCUCUGUUCUCAUUGGACCUGAAGCUCACUGUUCUUGCUAUUCAGCAAGCGAUGGGGAUCUGGUCUCAGUGAAUAAAAUGGAAAGCACUCACUCUCACACCUCUGCAUGCACUCUCUUCUCAUAUGUGCCCCCAAACACAUGUCUCUCUCUCUCUCUCUCUCUCACACACACACACACACACUCACACACUCACACACAGAGACACAAUGUGUGUUCAGAGAGAGAGAGAACAUGCAGAUUCUAUAUGUUCAUGGAGUCCCCAUAGGAAAGUGCAGAUAUUAAGAAGUAGUUAAAGCUAGCACAUGUAUAUAUAAGGUUGGAAGAAGUGUAAAUUGUGUGAUAACACUUAAGAGGCUUGGACUGGACAGCUAAUCUAGUUAAUCAUGGAGAAGGCAGGAAGAUAGAGCUUAGCUAAACAGAGUUAUACAGGCCUCCUUUAUCUGCAACUCCCUAUCUCCAGGGAUAAGAAUGCUGCUUUUAUCUUGGCAUAUAUAAGAUACCUUUCAUACUGAACUUCUAUCUCGUUUAUAGAAGAAAAAUGAAAGUCAGAGUGCCCUUCCUGUAUCUGCUAUUUACAAAGUCCCUUUAACUCAAAAUAAACUUUAUGCCAAAGUAGCAUUUUGGGCAUGGUAAUUCUGUUACUCAAACUUCUUAUGAAAAUAAAAGUUAAUAUAAUCUGUAAGAUAUUUCAUUAGUGAAAUAAUAGUGGUUAAAAUAUUCGAUAAAUACAACAUUUUUCUUAUGAAAGUAUUUCUAACUGUCUUUACAUGAAUAUGUAGUGUUAAAAUAUCCUUUAUGUUAAGAUUUAAACUUAGAAAAUACUUCUGUUCCUCUUGUUAUACAACUGAUUCAGAUUCAGCAAAUAUUAUUUAUUUGUUUGUUUAUUGUGGUCUUUGGCAUUCAUUUUAGGGGCUCCUAUAUGCUAGGCAACUAUUGCCUUUUGAGCUGUAUCCUUAACCCUUUUUCCUACUUAAAAAAUGUAUUCAAUCUUUUGUU
rnacentral:lncRNA from 1 species